UACGUAGGGGGCAAGCGUUGUCCGGAUUUAUUGGGCGUAAAGAGCGUGUAGGCGGCCAGGUAGGUCCGUUGUGAAAACUCGAGGCUCAACCUCGAGACGCCGAUGGAAACCAUCUGGCUAGAGUCCGGAAGAGGAGAGCGGAAUUCCAGGUGUAGCGGUGAAAUGCGUAGAUAUCUGGAAGAACACCGGUGGCGCAAGCGGAUUGCUGGGCCAUAACUGACACUGAGGAACGAAAGCUAGGGGAGCGAAUGGG
rnacentral:rRNA from 1 species